CAUGGAUUAUCUCUCGAGCUAUGUCUUUCUUGUCCAAAUUGUUAAACUUCAUGUGUCUCCUUCUUUAUCUCCAUUCUGAAUUUAUUUUAGGACUUCUCAAAUAGAUAUUAAAAAUUUUCCUGUAGGGGUUAGUACAACAAAAUAUACUAGUGUCUACACAAGCAGUGUUUAGUUCAAUAACCAAAUUAGACUCCAUGUCUA
rnacentral:lncRNA from 1 species